rnacentral:rRNA from 1 species
AUCCUACGGGGGGCAGCAGUCGGGAAUAUUGCGCAAUGGAGGAAACUCUGACGCAGUGACGCCGCGUGCAGGAAGAAGGUUUUCGGAUUGUAAACUGCUUUAGACAGGGAAGAAACAAGACAGUACCUGUAGAAUAAGCUCCGGCUAACUACGUGCCAGCAGCCGCGGUAAUACGUAGGGAGCAAGCGUUAUCCGGAUUCAUUGGGUUUAAAGGGUGCGCAGGCGGGCCUUUAAGCCGGCGGUGGAA